GGCUCCCUUGGCCCAUCCACUGUAACCUUUAUAGCUCUGUGGUAUGUAGCGACUUGGGGGGGAUUUGUCAGGACAGUUAUUGUCAAAGUAAAGCUCUUCCCUACAAAGGGAAAAAAACAACAAGGAAUGAGUGAUUACAACAUGAAAACAGUCACAUGCAUGUUCAGUAAAGAAUCAGAGACGUUUAAAAUUAUUCCCUGUCGUUACCACAAUCGUGAAAAUUAAAAACAUAACUGACCAUAGGAGUUUUCCUCCCCUUUAGUUUUACUCUAUGUCAAGAAUAUGUCCAUGUGUUGACAAUCUAAAUGUUCCUUAUUUAAUAAUGGGUCAUCAUACAAUGACAGAACAAAAGUGAUUCACUGCUGAGGACAAGCCAAAUUCUUUUCUGUAUUGAAAGUGGUGUAAAUCCAAAGCAAGUCAGAUAAUUUAAAAAUUUACUCCAGUUUUGCAGCUGUGUGACAGAGAGCAGAAUGUGGCCACAUGUUAUUUACUUCACACAGCUUUAUCAUUUCAUUUGUUUGACUCGACUACAAUAAGAUGAGGAAAGACUGUAUUUUCCUCCUGGGAGUCAUUUUAACAGGGAACCAAUGUCUCCUGUCCUUCAUAUGCCAGGGGUAAUAUAAUGAUAUCAUUAUUACUGGAACAGACUUUUUUCCUUACAUAUAUUCCAUCUAUUAAACCCUAAGAAAGCCCUCGAUUUUCUAAAGACGGUGAGAAACCCCUUUGUGCACACACGCUUCCCUCCUAAGCCUGCUUCUUUAUUUUUCAGAGCUCAAAUUCACACAGAUAUUGCACAAGCUCAUCUGGAGCCUUCGGCUGAAUGAAAACGUUAAAAAUAAAUAAAUGAGCCGAGCCGCGUGAGCCCGAGCGCACAUUCUCACAAGCCACUGGCCUCCGUUCGGGGGACUCACUGACAGUUGUAAUCUGUUAGAUAUGCAACGGUUAGUCAUGUCAGAUAGUCAAAACUGAAAACUGUUUCAAGACAGGAAAAGGUGGGCGUAUAACAGUGACUCAAUAAAAGUCAGCAAUCUUAGGCCUUCUUGCUCGUUUAAACUGCUACUUUACCAGACUCUUAAAUAUUUUUUUCUCUCUCUCUCUGUCUAUGUGCAUUUUUGUUGCCUGUGCUUUUCCUCUUGUUGAACUCCAAAGGCAUUUGAUCAAGACACAAAUCUUCAACAACAUGUAACAGCACAAACUUAACGCAGUUUUUUCAAGCCUAAUACAGAACAGCUUAUAUAAAAGGCAUAAUACGGAACAGAGCUUUGGCUGUCAAAUCUAGUAAUUGGUCUUUCUUUCUGGUCCAAGCCGUAUAUAUCCCCCAAAACCUGCCUGAGACAUGCAUCAUUUAUUAUCCGGAGUGCAACUCCAAACCGUCUCGGCUAUAUUUUUCACAAAUCAAAAUGUGACAUGGAUUUUUUUUUAAGGAAAUAUAACUGUCACUUGGAGUAAAGUGCUUUUCCAGGUGUAGCUGCGCUCCAGCUGCGCCCACCCCUCCGUGAGAGUGGAGGUCAAGAUGCUGGCAAAGGUGUAAAAAUCUCAGGAGGCUCAGUUCGGCCUCGGAUGCCAACAGAGAUGCAUGGCUGAAGGUGGCUGCCCCCAGUGCCACGGGGAAAUGGGUUAUUUCCCACAUCUUUUCAGAAUGACCACCAUGGGAGAGUAAGGUGUUUGUAGGAUGUCCGGUCUUACAGUCCUGCCCAUCCACAGCCCCCCAUGUAACCUGUUUCUUUUGCCAGUGUCGGCAUGCACGCAGGCAGAGCUCAGACGUACAGCAGCUUCCUUAAUGAAGCAUACAGUGCCUGCACGCCUGCUUGUUUAGGUCUGAAAGGCUCUGAGCCUUUUAUCCCUAUCCAAGCAGGAAUUCAGCCUAUUGCCUGGAUACCUAUAAAUUCACCAGGGACAGACUUAAGGCCUCCUUUAGCACCAGCCUAUCGUGUCAAAGAGCUCAUACGAAAUCAUGCGAUGCCGCCAUUCAGACCACAGUUACCCAUAUAAAACGGGUAGAAUACUAUUGGCAGCUGCCAAAGAUGCUAAAGGGAUUUUCCAUACACCUCGGAAUGAAGAAUUUGGCCUUCCAACGCUACCGUUCUAUUUCUGUGCCAAAUCAGUACUAAAGUCUAUUACAACGAAAAAUUAGCCUAGCAAAACAUACUAUUUCAAAGACCCUGUAAAAUAAUUUAGACGAAAAGCACUGCAAGGUUUUCUACACUAAAUAUAUCUUCGGAUGAUACAGCAGCCAGCAAAUACGCGCUCCUUCAUCAAGAGCUGCGUUUCGACCUCGCCUGUGAGCACUUCAUUACUGCCUCUCAGCCAGCCUAAGUUGAACAGUCUGGAAGACAAGUCUGGACCAAUUUCUCCAUCCUGCCUCUGGCAGCAGAAUGCAGCAUUUCAGAUCCUCCACCGAGUCCCGGCUGCUUCAAAGGAAAAGCCCUACUUUCUUCCGUUAAGAUCAUAAGAAAUAUAGGGGGAGGGGGUCAGCUCUGUUUGGACAUAAUUACACUUCAUCAAAAGAAGCUUUCUUCAUCUUCCAUGCGUGAAAAGUCUGCAAGCAGGCUGGUUUAAAAAUGAAUAAUUACUGUGAGUACGUAAAGCAAAAAUAUUUAGGUUGAAGCAAGGACUGAUAUAACAAACCCCUCUGAGGAUUCCUGCAGCAAAGACUGAAGUGCCAGCUUCCUUCAAGCGAUCCUUUCAAGCACUACCUCAAAUUUUAAGGCAGCUACAAGAAUCUUAAAUUCUUUUGAGACUCGCAGUGAUUACACAGGCUUUCUAUAACUGCAGUGCGCUUCCCAGGUUACAGAAGGUCCAAAACAGCUGGAGGACAAUGACAGCACUCUAAAUCUUCAAAAAAAUUGAAAGUCACCUGCUCUGACAUUUCAAGUAAAGGUUAAAUUUUGUUCGAGCCAAAGCUUAUAGCAAUUCAUAAAAAAGUCAGCCAGGUUACUAAAAAGAAAAGUAAGGCUUAUCUCUGUGGGUCAUAUGCAGUUUGAUCGUAAAGGGCAGGGAAGUCACUAGAAAGCUUUCUACCAAUAGCUGUAAGCCCUUAAAGAAUAUAACCUAUAGCACAUGUGAUAUGCAAAACCGCCGUAAUUAUAGCUCUUCUGCAACAACUUCAGAAGAAGCUCUGCUGCUAAAGGGAAUUCUGUGUCUCUCGUUACCGUGGCCUGAGAUGCACUAUCUGACUGUACAAAACUCAUCACAAAUAUCCUCACUUUCUUCCACUUUUGCUGUUCAAUUAAAAUAGGGAACCAAGGUAUUCUGUGAAUCAUUUUUGUAAAACUGGUGUCUCAAAAAUGAACAAAGACGCGGCAGAAAAACUUUGCGAGGGAGAAAACCACUUCACUUGGUUGGACAAAGUUUGCUGAAGCUUGCGAAUAAAAGAUGCAUUCAUGAAAGGCUGACAGCGAUUUAUUUACACGCUAAUCUGUAUUUCCUUGUGAAAUGAGUCUGAUGUCUAGACUUUUCUUUUGCUUCACUACGAACACGUACAGCGCAGUGGCCUACCUCUUCCGCUUCUUCCCACAAAUCGUAAGUCAUUGAAUCUGGCCACCUGGUUCUUCAUCACGGCAGAAGCGUUUCGCAGCUCUGCAGAGUAGUUCUCAUCGUUUCCAGCCAUGACAGUGACCACGGUCCCAUCAGGCACUUCUCCCAAGGCCAC